GCCGGAGUGGUGGAAUAGGUAGACACAGGGGACUUAAAAUCCCCCGGACAUACAAAUGUCCGUACCGGUUCAAGUCCGGUCUCCGGCA
rnacentral:tRNA from 1 species